CCUAAUACAUGCAAGUCGAACGAGUUCUCGUUGAUGAUCGGUGCUUGCACCGAGAUUCAACAUGGAACGAGUGGCGGACGGGUGAGUAACACGUGGGUAACCUGCCCUUAAGUGGGGGAUAACAUUUGGAAACAGAUGCUAAUACCGCAUAGAUCCAAGAACCGCAUGGUUCUUGGCUGAAAGAUGGCGUAAGCUAUCGCUUUUGGAUGGACCCGCGGCGUAUUAGCUAGUUGGUGAGGUAAUGGCUCACCAAGGCGAUGAUACGUAGCCGAACUGAGAGGUUGAUCGGCCACAUUGGGACUGAGACACGGCCCAAACUCCUACGGGAGGCAGCAGUAGGGAAUCUUCCACAAUGGACGCAAGUCUGAUGGAGCAACGCCGCGUGAGUGAAGAAGGCUUUCGGGUCGUAAAACUCUGUUGUUGGAGAAGAAUGGUCGGCAGAGUAACUGUUGUCGGCGUGACGGUAUCCAACCAGAAAGCCACGGCUAACUACGUGCCAGCAGCCGCGGUAAUACGUAGGUGGCAAGCGUUAUCCGGAUUUAUUGGGCGUAAAGCGAGCGCAGGCGGUUUUUUAAGUCUGAUGUGAAAGCCCUCGGCUUAACCGAGGAAGCGCAUCGGAAACUGGGAAACUUGAGUGCAGAAGAGGACAGUGGAACUCCAUGUGUAGCGGUGAAAUGCGUAGAUAUAUGGAAGAACACCAGUGGCGAAGGCGGCUGUCUGGUCUGUAACUGACGCUGAGGCUCGAAAGCAUGGGUAGCGAACAGGAUUAGAUACCCUGGUAGUCCAUGCCGUAAACGAUGAAUGCUAGGUGUUGGAGGGUUUCCGCCCUUCAGUGCCGCAGCUAACGCAUUAAGCAUUCCGCCUGGGGAGUACGACCGCAAGGUUGAAACUCAAAGGAAUUGACGGGGGCCCGCACAAGCGGUGGAACAUGUGGUUUAAUUCAAAUCAACGCGAAGAACCUUACCAGGUCUUGACAUCUUUUGAUCACCUGAAAAAACCAG
rnacentral:rRNA from 1 species